rnacentral:rRNA from 1 species
UGGGGAAUUUUGGACAAUGGGGGCAACCCUGAUCCAGCCAUCCCGCGUGUGCGAUGAAGGCCUUCGGGUUGUAAAGCACUUUUGGCAGGGAAGAAACAGCCUGGGAUAAUACCCCGGGCGACUGACGGUACCUGCAGAAUAAGCACCGGCUAACUACGUGCCAGCAGCCGCGGUAAUACGUAGGGUGCAAGCGUUAAUCGGAAUUACUGGGCGUAAAGCGUGCGCAGGCGGUUCGGAAAGAAAGGUGUGAAAUCCCAGGGCUUAACCUUGGAACUGCACUUUUAACUACCGAGCUAGAGUACGUCAGAGGGGGGUAGAAUUCCACGUGUAGCAGUGAAAUGCGUAGAGAUGUGGAGGAAUACCGAUGGCGAAGGCAGCCCCCUGGG